rnacentral:lncRNA from 1 species
GACCAGCAAGCUUCACACAGUGGUGUGUCAUCAUGUUUCUCUGAUUGGACUCCAUGGUGCUGCUGCCUCCCAGAGCUUCUGCAGCAGGGAGAGUUCAGCCUGCUGGUCCGACUCUGAGCAAAUCUAAAGGACCUGCCUCAGUCUACCUGCCCAGCCAUUGGUCGUUGACUCUUUAUUGAUCAAUCAAAAACCAAUUGGGAACAAGGACCUUCAGCGUUUGGACUCACAGAUCCUUGAUUUUGGAGGUCAGAUUAAUUCAAAGCAUUCGAACCAAUUCCCCAACAGGGGUGUGAGAGAGUGAUGCAGCUGUCUUUGAGUGUCCCAUGUUCCUGUUAGUGACCCUUCACUUCCUGUGACUAACCUCUCACCAUGUUCUGAUUAUCAACCACUCACCCGAACACCUGUAAAUAACCUUCUCCUAC